rnacentral:rRNA from 1 species
AAGUCGUAACAAGGUUUGAUGAAACGGGAUCCUUCUCGGAAGCCUUCGACACAACGACUAUAACCAUGUGUGCAGUCUGGAGAUGUUCUUUCCAGGCGACGUCGCCCCUGUGCUGGAACCCUGUAAUAUCUCUAUUAUCACGGACCAGCAGCCAGUGUUCUGGUUCACAGAUUAAGUGGUGGCGGUCUCGGUUCGUUCGGCUGGGAUCAAGAUAUAAUCGGUUCUCUAUCUUAGGUAUAGAGGUGACAUGUUCCGUAGGUGAACCUGCGGAAGGAUCAUUA